UGGCGCACGGGUGCGUAACGCGUAACCAACCUGCCCGCCACUGGGGGAUAGCCCGCUGAAAGGCGGAUUAAUACCGCAUGCGCUUGGCGCCCGGCAUCGGGGGCCGAGCAAAGAUUUAUCGGUGGUGGAUGGGGUUGCGUGCCAUUAGCUGGUUGGUGGGGCAACGGCCCACCAAGGCGACGAUGGCUAGGGGAGCUGAGAGGCUGGUCCCCCACACGGGCACUGAGACACGGGCCCGACUCCUACGGGAGGCAGCAGUAGGGAAUAUUGGGCAAUGGAAGCGAUUCUGACCCAGCCAUGCCGCGUGCCGGACGAAGGCCUUCUGGGUCGUAAACGGCUUUUACCGGGGAAGAAUAAGGCGCGUGCGCGCGCCGACGACGGUACCCGGGGAAUAAGCACCGGCUAACUCCGUGCCAGCAGCCGCGGUAAUACGGAGGGUGCGAGCGUUGUCCGGAUUUAUUGGGUUUAAAGGGUGCGUAGGCGGCCGGGUAAGUCUGGGGUGAAAGCCCGCUGCCCAACAGCGGAACCGCCCCGGAAAC
rnacentral:rRNA from 1 species